rnacentral:rRNA from 1 species
AUUGAACGCUGGCGGCAGGCCUAACACAUGCAAGUCGAGCGAGCGGCGGACGGGUGAGUAAUGUCUGGGAAACUGCAUGAUGGAGGGGGAUAACUACUGGAAACGGUAGCUAAUACCGCAUACCAUCAGAUGUGCCCAGAUGGGAUUAGCUAGUAGUUGGGGUAACGGUUCACCUAGGCUACGAUCCCUAGCUGGUCUGAGAGGAUGACCAGCCACACUGGAACUGAGACACGGUCCAGACGCCUACGGGAGGCAGCAGUGGGGAAUAUUGCACAAUGGGCGCAAGCCUGAUGCAGCCAUGCCGCGUGUGUGAAGAAGGCCUUCGGGUUGUAAAGCACUUUCAGCGGGGAGGCGUUACCCGCAGAAGAAGCACCGGCUAACUCCGUGCCAGCCGCCGCGGUAAUAC